GCAGACAGAUCUUUUCCUCACAGGGCUCAUAGUCUAGAGAGGGCUCCAGACAAGUGAACAGGCUGUUAUAAUAUCAUGCAAGUGUUCUGACAGGAAAGCGUAAGAUGGUAUAGGAAGAGACAGAGGGGCACCUAAUCUAGAUAUGGACGAUCAUCAAGAAGUUGCAGCUAAUCUGAAAACAGGUGGCAAAUAAGAAUUAAGGGAAAAGAGGGCUGGAGAGAGAAUGUUCCAGGAUGAGGGACAACGUGUGUAAAAACCUAGAUAUGAGAGAAAGCACAAUGUACCCACAGAACUGAAUGAUCAGCAAGGCUGGAAUGGAGACAGUGGGGUGGGGAAUGUUGAGAGAUGAGGAUGGUGAGGUAAGCAGGGGGUAGAAGUGAUACAGUAUUUUUUGCUCCUUAGUUCAGCUAAAACCAGGUUCUUGUAACACGACCAGGAAAUAUUAGGAACACAGAUAAACUGAAAGGUGAGGAGAGGGAAAUUUAUUAAAAGAAAGCUCUCAGUGAAAAAAGAAGGGGGUAUGCUAACUGUCUCCCACCUCACUGAUUGAAUACCAGGCCACCACACAUGAGCUGAAGCGGCCAGGCUCCUCCCCGCUGCACAAGGUGCGAAAUUCCUGUGGCUCCACCCCAGUCUCUCAGUGUGCAGCUUUCUCCAGAAUUGGGAAAUCCCUCAACCUGGCAAAAGUAUAGCUCAAAUGUGCCUCAGCUACCAUUUCCUGGUGGCAGUCCUCAACCAAUGGGUGCUGGGAAUUGGUGAACAACACCCCAGCCCCCCAGCCUCCAGAGAAACAAUUCUGAGUGACAUGGAUGAUGAUAACCAGUCUAUGCCCACAGUGAUUAUCAGCUCAGCAAUGUACCCUUUACUGGCUUUUCCUCCUUCCAUAUGUCACUAUUCCUGCUCCCUCACUCCUGCUUCCUGGAAUUACCUUCCCAGAAAAACUUCAUUCAGGUAAGCCAUAGUCCUAGGCUCUACUUGAGGGUAGGGGAAUCCAAACUAAAGUAAGUGUCUGUAGGACUUCAAAGUAAAGAUCCAAGUUAGACUUUCAGAAGAGAUUUGGGGUAGAAGUAUAAACUUAUGUUUUCUUCCUAAUGGGAGCUGACAACAUAGAAGUAGAUGAAAUUUUCCAGUCAUAGAAGAAAGGGGUCUAUGAGGAACCAUGAGGAACAACAACAUUUCUGGCACAGGCAGAAGAAGAGUCAAGGAGACAGAAACGACAAGAGAGGUAGAAGAACAAAGAAAGUUUGCAACAUGGAAAGCCAGGGAGGAGGAAGUUUCAAGAAAGAGCGGGUGAAUCUAUCCCAGCAGCAGCUAGGGUGGGCCUCUGUCCUCGAGCAGCACUGGAGCCAGAGCCAGUUCCCGGAUCUUGCAGCCGAGGAGCCUCUCAAGCAUCCACAGCCCCCACCAGUGUGGGGACGGUGGAUCCUGUGGUGGACAUCCCCGGGGAUGUGACUGCCUGAUGGUGGCAGCAACAGCAGCAACAUUUGAGACCACGGAGUGGGGGUCUUUGGCAGAGACCCCAGGGCAGCUGAGGCAGCUGGGCUUCCUCCCAGCUCCAUCAGCCUUUAGGUCCAUGAGAAUCCCUUAUCCUUUACAGCCCUGCCCUGGCUCUGGGAAACUGGGGAUGGCCUCUGUGAACCCCCUUUGAGAGGUGAAGCCAGCUGGACUUCUGGGUCGGGUGGCGACUUGGAGAACUUUUCUGUCUUACAAGAGGAUUAUAAAAUGCACCAAUCAGCACUCUGUAGCUAGGAUUGUAAAAUGCACCAGUCAGUGUUCUGUGGCUAGCUAGAGGUUUGUAAAAUGGACCAAUCAGUGCUCUGUAAAAUGGACCAAUCAGCACUCUGUAAAAUGGACCAAUCUGCACUCUGUAAAAUGGACCAAUCAGCAGGAUGUGGGUGGGGACAAAUAAAAGAAUAACACCUGGCCACCCCAGCCAGCAGCAGCAACCUGCUUGGGUUCCCUUCCAUGGUGUGGAAGCUUUGUUCUUUAGCUCUUCACAAUAAAUCUUGCUGGUGCUAA